AGCGAACGCUGGCGGCAGGCCUAACACAUGCAAGUCGAACGAAGUCUUCGGACUUAGUGGCGGACGGGUGAGUAACACGUGGGAACGUGCCUUUAGGUUCGGAAUAACUCAGGGAAACUUGUGCUAAUACCGAAUGUGCCCUUCGGGGGAAAGAUUUAUCGCCUUUAGAGCGGCCCGCGUCUGAUUAGCUAGUUGGUGAGGUAAAGGCUCACCAAGGCGACGAUCAGUAGCUGGUCUGAGAGGAUGAUCAGCCACAUUGGGACUGAGACACGGCCCAAACUCCUACGGGAGGAAGCAUUGGUGAAUCUUGCGCAAUGGGCGAAAGCCUGACGCAGCCAUGCAGCGUGAAUGAUAAAGGUCUUAGGAUUGUAAAAUUCUUUCGCCGGGGACGAUAAUGACGGUACCCGGAGAAGAAGCCCCGGCUAACUUCGUGCCAGCAGCCGCCGUAAGAC
rnacentral:rRNA from 1 species